rnacentral:rRNA from 1 species
ACUCAAAGGAAUAGACGGGGGCCCGCACAAGAGGUGGAGUAUGUGGUUUAAUUCGAAGCAACGCGCAGAACCUUACCUGGUCUUGACAUUGUAAGACAUCCGUAGAGAUACGGCUUUCCCUUCGGGGACUUAUAAACAGGUGCUGCAUGGCUGUCGUCAGCUCGUGUUGUGAAAUGUUCGGUUAAGUCCGGCAACGAGCGCAACCCCUGUCCUUAGUUACCAGCAUUAAGUUGGGGACUCUAGGGAGACUGCCGGUGUUAAACCGGAGGAAGGCGGGGAUGACGUCAAGUCCUCAUGGCCCUUACGACCAGGGCUACACACGUACUACAAUGGUGGAAACAAAGAGUCGCAAGUCGGUGACGACAAGCUAAUCUCAAAAACACCAUCUCAGUCCGGAUUGAAGUCUGCAACUCGACUUCAUGAAGUUGGAAUCUCUAGUAAUCGCAGAUCAGCACGCUGCGGUGAAUACGUUCCCGGGCCUUGCACACACCGCCCGU